rnacentral:rRNA from 1 species
UACGAAGGGGGCUAGCGUUGCUCGGAAUCACUGGGCGUAAAGCGCACGUAGGCGGAUCGUUAAGUCAGGGGUGAAAUCCUGGAGCUCAACUCCAGAACUGCCUUUGAUACUGGCGACCUUGAGUUCGGGAGAGGUGAGUGGAACUGCGAGUGUAGAGGUGAAAUUCGUAGAUAUUCGCAAGAACACCAGUGGCGAAGGCGGCUCACUGGCCCGAUACUGACGCUGAGGCGCGAAAGCCAGGGGAGCAAACGGG